GGGGGUAGAGCUCAGUGGUAGAGCACAUGCUUGGCAUGAGGUCCUGGGUUCAAUCCCCAGCACCUCCA
rnacentral:tRNA from 1 species